CAUCACUAAUUCACAUCAAACAACGAAACUAGAACUAAAACGCAUCCACAAUUCCUUCAGUUACUCGAAAUCCACAAAUAACAAUCAUACAAUCACUAAAAUCACAUAUAAAGUUCAAAAAAUAGUCAGAUUGGAAGUUCAUAUGAAGAUAUAAACACAUCAUUCAACAUCAAAAUAACAAAACACAAACAAUAUACACUUCGAUUCCAACCACCACAACAUCCAGUCGCCGAUUCAUCUCGAAAACACCACCACCGUCAUAUCGCCGGCUAUUCAUCUCGAAACCACCACCACCGUCUUUAUCGCCGGCUACCUUCAUCAUGAUCGUCUUUAUUGUGGUGGGUUUAAUGGCGGCAGGUGAGAGAGGGGGAGAGAAGAGAGAGAGUAAGAAUUUAGAGAGAGAAGGCAGAGAACAUGAGAGAGAGAAAUGGCAAAUUAUUUUUUUUACACAAUAG
rnacentral:lncRNA from 1 species